rnacentral:rRNA from 1 species
CCUACGGGCGGCAGCAGUAGGGAAUCUUCCACAAUGGGCGAAAGCCUGAUGGAGCAACGUCGCGUGGGUGAAGAAGGUCUUCGGAUCGUAAAACCCUGUUGUUAGAGAAGAAAGUGCGUGAGAGUAACUGUUCACGUUUCGACGGUAUCUAACCAGAAAGCCUAGGCUAACUACGUGCCAGCAGCCGCGGUAAUACGUAGGUGGCAAGCGUUAUCCGGAUUUAUUGGGCGUAAAGGGAACGCAGGCGGUCUUUUAAGUCUGAUGGGAAAGCCUUCGGCUUAACCGGAGUAGUGCAUUGGAAACUGGGAGACUUGAGUGCAGAAGAGGAGAGUGGAACUCCAUGUGUAGCGGUGAAAUGCGUAGAUAUAUGGAAGAACACCAGUGGCGAAAGCAGCUCUCUGGUCUGUAACUGACGCUGAGGUUCGAAAGCGUGGGUAGCAAACAGGAUUAGAUACCCUUGUAGUC